CUUGCACACUGUUAGAGCUCAGAGCUGAAGCCAGUUUCUGGCUAAUGAACUCUUGAGUGUAGGAUGUGUGCUAUAGCAACUGGACAGGUCUUUUCGCUAACACCACAAGGACCUUUUUUGGUCCAAUGAGUGGAGUUUGAUGGUGAUUCUUGUCACAGCA